UUUCACCUGCAGUUGAAGAUCCGUGAGGUGCCCAGAAGAUCAUGCAGUCAUCAGUCCCACGGAGCAGCCUGCGAGGCUGAGGCUCCUCCCACUGGACCGCCCCCCAACUGGCACCACUGCUGCCCCUGCCCCUACUCUCAGCCUCACGUGACUCUCGGGCAGAAGCAGUGGUGGGGCAGCCAGGGCAGCGUCAAGAGUCUGAGCCAGACAUGAUGGAGAGGAAAGCAUCAUCAUGGUCAUUCUCUGUCUCACUGUCCAGCAGGGACUCCCCUGAGGGGCCCAGGGCUCCUCCUCCAUGGUGGGAGGUGAGCUUUUACCAGGUUCCACCACCCCCAAAGUGUGUGGGGUUGCGGGCCCUGGGCUUUCAGGGCAGGUGGCUCCAGGGGGCUGCCCAGGGUCAACACUCCCUGUCCCACCUGGUGGACGCUCAUGAGCAACGGCUGCCAACUUGGCAGGUUGUUUUCUCUGGUUGGAGGCCACUGAGUGACUGGCAGGUUGCUGGGCCUCGUGUGGCUGCAGGGAGGGGUCAGGAAGGGGAUGGAGUACCAGGAGAACACGGCCGCAGAGUGACCUUCCACAUUCCUCCACACGAACAUGCUGACGCCACGGGAGGCCUCACUGAACGCAGGCCUGGGGGCCGAGCACUUGGUCCGGGCAGGGGGUUCCUGGCAGGGGCUCACACCUCCUCGCCCCCUCCUCAGCCAAGGUGGCUUGGGCCCAGAGAAGGGGAGGUUGGAGAGGAGCAGAAGGCCAGGCCUCAAUUCGAGCAUCUUAAAAUGAUUCAACAGGAGGAGAUAAGGAAGCUCGAGGAAGAGAAAAAACAACUGGAAGGAGAAAUCAUAGAUUUUUAUAAAAUGAAAGCUGCCUCUGAAGCACUGCAGACUCAGCUGAGCACCGAUACAAAGAAAGACAAACAUCCUGAUCCAUAUGAAUUCCUCUUAUUAAGAAAAAUAAAACAUCCAGGAUUCAAUGAAGAACUGACUAUCACCUUGUUAAUCAUUCAGAAACAUGUUGCAGGCUUAAGCCAUUUUUGA
rnacentral:lncRNA from 1 species